rnacentral:rRNA from 1 species
GACGAACGCUGGCGGCGUGCUUAACACAUGCAAGUCGAGCGGUAAGGCCCUUUCGGGGGUACACGAGCGGCGAACGGGUGAGUAACACGUGGGUGACCUGCCCUCAGCUCUGGGAUAAGCCUGGGAAACCGGGUCUAAUACUGGAUAUGACUCCAUGACGCAUGUUGUGGGGUGGAAAGCCUUGUGCGGCUGAGGAUGGGCCCGCGGCCUAUCAGCUUGUUGGUGGGGUGANGGCCUACCAAGGCGACGACGGGUAGCCGGCCUGAGAGGGCGACCGGCCACACUGGGACUGAGACACGGCCCAGACUCCUACGGGAGGCAACAGUGGGGAAUAUUGCGCAAUGGGCGAAAGCCUGACGCAGCGACGCCGCGUGUGGGAUGACGGCCU